UACAGAGGGUGCGAGCGUUAAUCGGAAUUACUGGGCGUAAAGGGUGCGUAGGUGGUUGAUUCAGUCAGAUGUGAAAUCCCUGGGCUUAACCUAGGAAUUGCAUAUGAUACUGGUCAGCUAGAGUAUGGGAGAGGGAAGUGGAAUUUCCGGUGUAGCGGUGAAAUGCGUAGAUAUCGGAAGGAACAUCAGUGGCGAAGGCGGCUUCCUGGCCCGGUACUGACACUGAGGCACGAAAGCGUGGGGAGCAAACAGG
rnacentral:rRNA from 1 species